rnacentral:lncRNA from 1 species
AGGGAAUGACUAAUGCUUAAAGCCACGCAUUACACGAAGGUUUACCAGGCAGAGCAAAUAAAUGGUCAUCGGAGACAUGCUUUCAAACAGAGAUCUCUGUUCUUGGCAUGAAGGUUAAGGCCCCACAGAGGAGUUUGAAAUUCUUGCUUCAGGCCAUAUGGAGUGGAUAUUCCUUCCAGAAGGAAAUUACAGACCACUCUCUGUUUCUACUCAACUGCUUUUCACUCCGGGAUGCUUCACCUCUUGGGGCCUUCCCCAGCAGAGGCCCAGGAUCACCUGCAAAAGGCUUCCCCAAGGGUGGGGCCAGAAGCAGGGCUGCAGAUAUGUGUCCUGAACCUCCCAUGGACCCUGCUGGCUCCCUUCAAAGGCUUCGGGCAUAGCGACUUGCCUUUCCGUCUUGUUCAGUCGUCACCAGUCAGCCGUCUGCAGACUUCUCUCCCUCACGUUGUGGCAGAGGAGUUGUACAUUCUCUAGAUUUUAAAAAUAUAUAAGUUACUUUUUCUUUAAAAUAAAAAUUGUCUCUGAAAUAAG